GACGAACGCUGGCGGCGUGCUUAACACAUGCAAGUCUAACGGAAAGGCCCUGCUUUUGUGGGGUGCUCGAGUGGCGAACGGGUGAGUAACACGUGAGUAACCUGCCCUUGACUUUGGGAUAACUUCUGGAAACUGGGGCUAAUACCCGAUAGGAGCUCCGGCUGCAUGGUGGGGGUUGGAAAGUUUCGGCGGUUGGGGAUGGACUCGCGGCUUAUCAGCUUGUUGGUGGUGUAGUGGCUUACCAAGGCUUUGACGGGUAGCCGGCCUGAGAGGGUGACCGGCCACAUUGGGACUGAGAUACGGCCCAGACUCCUACGGGAGGCAGCAGUGGGGAAUAUUGCACAAUGGGCGGAAGCCUGAUGCAGCAACGCCGCGUGCGGGAUGACGGCCUUCGGGUUGUAAACCGCUUUCGCCUGUGACGAAGCGUGAGUGACGGUAAUGGGUAAAGAAGCACCGGCUAACUACGUG
rnacentral:rRNA from 1 species